rnacentral:snRNA from 1 species
AACCUCUAAAUAUAUGAAC